UAGUAACGGCGAGUGAAGCGGCAACAGCUCAAAUUUGAAAUCUGGCCCCCUAGGGGGUCCGAGUUGUAAUUUGCAGAGGGUGCUUUGGCGUUGGCAGCGGUCUAAGUUCCUUGGAACAGGACGUCACACAGGGUGAAAAUCCCGUACGUGGUCGCCAGCCUUCGCCGUGUAAAGCCCCUUCGACGAUUCGAGUUGUUUGGGAAUGCGGCUCUAAAUGGGAGGUAAAUUUCUUCUAAAGCUAAAUACUGGCCAGAGACCGAUAGCGCACAAGUAGAGUGAUCGAAAGAUGAAAAGCACUUUGGAAAGAGAGUCAAAAAGCACGUGAAAUUGUUGAAAGGGAAGCGCUUGCAGCCAGACUUGCCUGUAGUUGCUCAGCCGGGCUCCGGCCCGGUGCACUCUUCUGCGGGCAGGCCAGCAUCGGUUCGGGCGGCCGGAUAAAGACCUCUGUCACGUACCUCCCUCCGGGGAGGA
rnacentral:rRNA from 1 species